GACGAACGCUGGCGGCGUGCCUAAUACAUGCAAGUCGAACGCUUCUUUCCUCCCGAGUGCUUGCACUCAAUUGGAAAGAGGAGUGGCGGACGGGUGAGUAACACGUGGGUAACCUACCCAUCAGAGGGGGAUAACACUUGGAAACAGGUGCUAAUACCGCAUAACAGUUUAUGCCGCAUGGCAUAAGAGUGAAAGGCGCUUUCGGGUGUCGUUGAUGGAUGGACCCGCGGUGCAUUAACUAGUUGGUGAGGUAACGGCUCACCAAGGCCACGAUGCAUAGCCGACCUGAGAGGGUGAUCGGCCACACUGGGACUGAGACACGGCCCAGACUCCUACGGGAGGCAGCAGUAGGGAAUCUUCGGCAAUGGACGAAAGUCUGACCGAGCAACGCCGCGUGAGUGAAGAAGGUUUUCGGAUCGUAAAACUCUGUUGUUAGAGAAGAACAAGGACGUUAGUAACUGAACGUCCCCUGACGGUAUCUAACCAGAAAGCCACGGCUAACUACGUG
rnacentral:rRNA from 1 species